rnacentral:misc_RNA from 2 species
AACGCACAUUGCGCCCCCUGGUAUUCCGGGGGGCACGCCUGUUCGAGCGCCAUUUCAACCCUCAAGCCUCGCUUGGUGAUGGGCCCCGCCCAAGGGCGGGCCCGAAACCCGUAGGCGUCGACGACCGGCUCCAAGCGUAGCAAGACCCUCGCUUGGGUGCCCGGCCGGCGGCCGCCCGGACGAAACUUUCACAAGGUUGGCCUCGGAUCAGGCGGGGAUACCCGCUGAACUUAA